rnacentral:tmRNA from 1 species
GGGGGCGUUUAGAUUCGACAGGGUUGUUGUUUCGCAGGUUGCAUGCCGGGGAGCUUGUCCCUCGUACCAAAUAAGCAAAAAGAUAGAUGCAAAUAACAUCGUCAAAUUCCCCAGCCGCAGCCUCGCUGCGGUUGCCUAACUAAUUACUUAGGCUUCUGGGACUUGCAGCGUAGCUUGAUUACCCGCCACGCUCAGGUAAACCACGGUAAUUGCUCAAGGGUGAAGUUAGCGAAUAUUAGCCCUUGCUAAGACAUAAUCGCAAUCCCGGUUGGCCGUUUAAGCCUUCCUCAGCGGGUCGCAAGACAACUGGGGGAAUUUUAAACUACGCAUUGUAGACGCCUGCCUCUCGGCUUCUUUGGACGCGAGUGCGAUUCUCGCCGCCUCCACCA